UAACCACUGCUGCUGCCCCGGUGAUUCUGGGAGCUGUGGGAUUUACCAGUGCUGGAAUAGCAGGAGGCUCCAUUGCAGCAAGUAUGAUGUCUUCAGCAGCUAUCGCCAAUGGGGGAGGAGUAGCUGCUGGAAGUCUGGUGGCCCUCCUUCAAUCUGCUGGGGCGGCUGGAAUCCCAGUAGCUGCCAAACUUGGACUGGGAGCUGCAGGUGCUUUCACUGGUGCACUUUUCUAACAUUCGAAAAUAAAAAUGCCUCAAGACAACGGAAAAUAAAUAAUUUUUAUUCUGAAUCAGAGGAGGGAAAAGGCAACUGAAGCCUGAUGCUGAAAUUCAAUAAAAGCUCUGCAUAAUCGAA